CCUACGGGUGGCAGCAGUAGGGAAUAUUGCUCAAUGGGGGCAACCCUGACGCAGCAACGCCGCGUGAAGGAUGAAGGUUUUCGGAUUGUAAACUUCUUUUGUUAGAGAAGAUAAUGACGCUAUCUAACGAAUAAGAACCGGCUAACUCCGUGCCAGCAGCCGCGGUGAUACGGAGGGGGCAAGCGUUAUUCGGAGUUACUGGGCGUAAAGAGCGCGUAGGCGGGAAAGCAAGUCAGAUGUGAAAUCCUCUGGCUUAACCAUAGAACUGCAUUUGAAACUGUUAUUCUGGAGUAUGGGAGAGGUAGGUGGAAUUCUUGGUGUAGGGGUAAAAUGCGUAGAGAUAAAGAAGAAGACUCAUGGCGAAGGCGAAUGGCUAGAAGAUAACUGACGGUGAUGCGCGAAAGCGUGGGGAGCAAACAGGAUUAGGUACCCGAGUAGUC
rnacentral:rRNA from 1 species